rnacentral:lncRNA from 1 species
CAAGCCAAUUUGAAGCAUGCAUAGCAAACAAUAUGACGCUAUACAUAAAUCUCUAGGUUAUAAUAUAUAUACAUGUACUGCACCAACUACUGUGUCUGUGAGUAGUGUAUGUCACCUAUAAUCAUAUAUCUCAAUCAAGAAUAAAUUUACAAACGAGUAAACAACCACAUAACUUCAGCCACGACACCAUACUCCAUAGUCAUAGAUAUUUUAUAUACACUAGAUAUCUAUGCACGACACGCGCGUAUGGAUUGUUAUCCAAGAUAUACAGAACACCAUGCACACGCAUUAUACAUACAUUAUGCCCUUACUAUACAAUAUCUCGCUAUAUGGUCUACUCUCCAAACCCGGUGAAGACCCAAGAAAUCCAUUAGCCAAAGACUGCCUACAAAAGAUUGCACAACGCAAAAUCCCAAACUCCUGUGUAGACUAUAUAUAAAGGUAUAAAAUUACAAACUGGCAGAGGAAAUACUGCUAGUGAAAGAAUUUAAAGAUCGUCGGUUUCUCACUCGUUCAGGAAUGCUCAUUACAGAUUUUAAUUAACCCCACUGUAGAGGAAACAUUUCCUGCUACACUCGGUAUUUGGACGCGGCAGAGCACAUGAAGCCUCAAUUCGCUGGCGGAGGUUUAUGCAGCUGGGUUAGACGAUUUUAUUACUGACAUUCCGCUUUCAUGGGUUUCCGCAUAUUUCUCUCUGGAAAGAUUGGAAAUUGCGCGGCCGAGAUUUCGAAAAUUUAAUAGUAAAUAUAUAGAAAGCAUCAAAAUUGCCUGCACGUCAUGACGUCAUAUAACUGUAAAAUACAACAUAUAUAUUCUCCUGUACAAAAACCCCAGUCUCACAAAAUAUGUCAACAGCGAUCUUCGCAUUUUAUACCACAAGCGCUAGAUAAUAAUUGAAACACUACAGCAUGACAUCAUGAUCACCUGCAUUUGCAUGGCGUCUUACAAAACCCAGUACUGUACAUAGUAGGUACUUAUAUAGCUAGCGUACCAACUACCAAAACGAAAAGGUUUACGGCAUAUUUCACCAGAUCAAAACAAUUCCUAAUACGAUACACUGUUAUUUCAGAGGUUAUUUCCUAUUUUAUGCCAUCGCGUAUACACCCCACAUGCAAUUCGAACUAAACAUACUUCACAGUUCACUACAGUGUAUCACACACCGAGACAAAGCCAAAUUAAGGGGUAGUAGAGCACUCGCAUUCUACUACAAAUUUAUUCAUCGCGCAUUGAGACAACUAUUAUCGACCAGCUCAUGAUUAUACACAGAGCAGUUUUUGCUUUUCUCCGUCUCUCUUUUAGUCAUUCUGUUACAAACGAAGGAAGGACAUGAAGAAGAUCUCAGCAUUUGCGCCAUCUUGGUUUCCGCCUUCCAUCACCUAUCUGGAUCACUCCUACGUCCUAAUGGCUAUGAACUCUUUACGUAUAUAUGAACUAUUUAUGACAUAAUCUACAUUCUAUUACCUGAACUAUAUAUGUAUUGUCUACUGUGCGGUGGCGUUCUGCUUUGGAUUGCGACAAAUUAAUUCUGAUCGUUUAGUUCCCUUAUUUAUGCUCAAAAGCGUAGUUUCAUAACAAAAAAAAAAGAAAAGAAAACGAAAACAAACCAAAAACAAUAAAACAAAUAACGCAUGCGUUAACAGAAUAGCUUAGUGGUGUCUAGCGCGAUACUGACAUUUCUUAAUUUUGUAAAGAUAAAGCUAUGUGGGGAGCUGCUGGUGGUCUUGGCCCUACCCAGGUUUUCCUGUACUGCAGGUUUUUUCCUGGCCUCCCUGAUUAUCCAGCCGUAGCAUAAGUGUUAGUAUCUCGUGGACACCAUAUAUCUUAUUUGCGCAGCACGCCAUCAUUACAUACUAUAAAACAUACAUCUAUACCAUACUAUAAAUACUUCAUAUUAACUAUUUAUAAUUUUUCCCGACCAACAUGCUUCUCGUGGGGGAUCUACACUUUGUUUCGAUCAAUGGCGGAAAGUGGUGUCCACACGGCCACACGCCCACGGUGAAGCACACACCGGCAAAAGAGAGCAAGGUCCAUAACGGCGGGGGCCCUUACCCUCGUCCUGAUCUUCGCAUCUCUCGGUCACUUCACCACGGGGAAGCCCGGCUCGGACAUGAGAUUCAAUGUCCAUAACGGUGAGGGCCCUUACUCUCACCCUGAUGUUGUUUCUCCAGCUUUUCUGGGGGCCCUUACCCCCAAGAAACCGCACUUUCCGUCACCCAAUUUGGCCACAAAGGAUUUGCGUGAUUUAUUAAGGAGCAAUUUAUUUUAAAAAAUAAAUUAGGAUUAAUAAGAGGCAACAUCCAUACCGAAAACUAAACGGAAACGAUAAGCAAAGAAAACAACCGCCUUGCUCUCCGGGCAACACCUGCCAUGUGUCAAUGCCAAAUUGUCAAUAUAAUCCCAUUUUGCUAAGCCGACAUUCUUCAGUUAUCAGCAAAAGCUAGCCAAAUUUUAUCUCAGUUCACUCUGGUUUCAAAGGUCUUCGAGACAACAUAGAAGGAAAAUCCCACCCACCCAACCCUUUGAUGAAGAAGAAGCAUCCCAAUAAUCAGGAACUAUAGAACUUAAUUAAAUAUAAGAAAUCAAUUGUAAUCAUAUCUUAUUUGUUCUGUUUGAUCAACUUGUAAAUAUUUUUAUACAUUCAAGAAGAAAUAAAGAAAGCGGGACGGAAAGUGGUGUCCACACGGCCACACUUCGCCCACGGUGAAGCACACACCGACAAAAGAGAGCAAGGUCCAUAACGGCGGGGGCCCUUACCCUCGUCCUGAUCUUCGCAUCUCUCGGUCGCUUCACCACGGGGAAGCCCGGCUCGGACAUGAGAUUCAAUGUCCAUAACGGUGAGGGCCCUUACUCUCACCCUGAUGUUGUUUCUCCAGCUUUUCUGGGGGCCCUUACCCCCAAGAAACCGCACUUUCCGUCACCCAAUUUGGCCACAAAGGAUUUGCGUGAUUUAUUAAGCGGCUUUUAGUGU